UACAGGGGGUGCAAGCGUUGCUCGGAAUCACUGGGCGUAAAGCGUACGCAGGCGGACCGUUAAGUCGGGAGUGAAAGCCCGGGGCUCAACCCCGGAAAUGCUUUCGAAACUGGCGGUCUUGAAUACGGGAGAGGUGAGUGGAAUUCCUGGUGUAGAGGUGAAAUUCGUAGAUAUCAGGAGGAACACCGGUGGCGAAAAGCGGCUCACUGGCCCGAUAUUGACGCUCAUGUACGAAAGCGUGGGGAGCAAACAGG
rnacentral:rRNA from 1 species